AGAGUUUGGCCCAGUUCCUGCAUCAGGUCGGUUCUGUUAAUGAUUCGCUGGUUAUAAUGCUGCAGCUGCUUCCUCUUCCUGUGGUUCCGACUCGUCUGUAGCGGGUCAAGCUCGCGGCUUCUGGAUCAGCGGUUCCUGAAGGAUUCCUGAGGAUUUUCCCGAACCCUAACUCUAACCCUUUAGCUGCGUUCAGGUGCUGUCAGCAGGAAGCAGCUUUGACCUAAAAUCAACCUGUAUCCAAUCAGAGCGCAGACUGAACCCGGACAGACUGGUUCUGCUCAACAUUUUCGUCUCUGGAUCCAACAGAACCGGUUCAUGUGGAUCCGCCGAGCAGCAGAGAGUUUCACCAGAAUGAGUCCAGAGGGUUUCUGAUCCCUUCGUUCUGACAUGAAGAAGAAGAUGUUCUGGAUCCUCCUGCACGUGUCCCUGCUGGUCCCUGCGGUCCAGAUGUUGGUUCUGAACGGUUCUACGGAGGUCUGGACCCGAUCCGACCUCAGCCUGCCCACCGCUAACACGACACGUGGAGAUGAGCUGACGGAUCAGAACCCGCUCAACAGAACCACAACCGUCGCUCCGCAGACGGGAAACCUGACCCUGACCGUGACCUCUGACCCCAGGGCCUCCACAAAGCAAGCG